GGAAGUAAAAUGUAACAAGGUCUCCGUUGGUGAACCAGCGGAGGGAUCAUUACAGAGUUGCAAAACUCCCAAACCAUUGUGAACGUUACCUAUCCCGUUGCUUCGGCGGGCGGCCCGGGCCCCGCGCCCGGCGCCCCCCGGCCCCCCGUGGGCGCCCGCCGGAGGUAAACCAAACCCUUGAAUUGCAUGGCCUCUCUGAGUCUUCUGUACUGAAUAAGUCAAAACUUUCAACAACGGAUCUCUUGGUUCUG
rnacentral:misc_RNA from 1 species